rnacentral:rRNA from 1 species
UACGAAGGGGGCUAGCGUUGCUCGGAAUCACUGGGCGUAAAGGGUGCGUAGGCGGGUCUUUAAGUCAGGGGUGAAAUCCUGGAGCUCAACUCCAGAACUGCCUUUGAUACUGGCGACCUUGAGUCCGGGAGAGGUGAGUGGAACUGCGAGUGUAGAGGUGAAAUUCGUAGAUAUUCGCAAGAACACCAGUGGCGAAGGCGGCUCACUGGCCCGGUACUGACGCUGAGGUGCGAAAGCGUGGGGAGCGAUCCGG